rnacentral:rRNA from 1 species
AUUGAACGCUGGCGGCGUGCUUAACACAUGCAAGUCGAACGAAGUGGCGAACGGGUGAGUAACGCGUAAUCAACCUGCCCUUCAGAGGGGGACAACAGGUGAAAACGACUGCUAAUACCGAAUACUGAAGGAGGGGAUUGCGUCUGAUGAGCUAGUUGGAGGGGUAACGGGCCCCCAAGGAGAUGAUCAGUAGCCGGUCUGGGAGGUGGAACGGCCACAUUGGGACUGUGACACGGCCCAGACUCCUACGGGAGGCAGCAGUGGGGAAACUUCCGCAAUGGACGAAAGUCUGACGGAGCAACGCCGCGUGAGUGAUGACGGCCUUCGGGUUGUAAAGCUCUGUUAAUCGGGACGCGGUACCGGAAUAGAAAGCCACGGCUAACUACGUGCCAGCCGCCGCGGUAAUAC